UCGGGCUCUACUCCACAAAUGUCAAAAUAAAAGCAGUUCCCAGCCGAUGGGUCUUCAGGUGGUGGUGGUGUAGCUCUUGCUUCAUCAACUUCUACUUCUUCUUUGUUUUCUAUAUAUAUCAUAUAUAUAAACAUGAAUGCUUAUGUAAUGCUUAUGAAAAUGCAAAGAUAAUAAAGUACAUUAUCUAAGGUCUUGAAUACAAUUUUCCUUCACGGGUCUCCAGGAAAAUAGGGUUUUUGGAGUCAGAAUUGUAGUUCCUAGGGCAUGUAUCACUAGAAGAUUAGGGUUUUGGGGUUUAGGCACCAAACAUUGUCCAAAUCAUACCAAACUUUACCCAAGGCUUCUAAUUAUCGACUUAAGCUUAUCCCAACAAUCUAGUGAUUUUUGGAGUUAGUAAUUAAUUUCUAAAAUUUCAGAAGUAUAGGUUUUGGCUAAUUUAAAUACUCCAUAAUUCCUUAUUUGAACUAAAAAUUAUAAAACUAUUUUUAUUAAAUACUAUAGAAAAUCAGGAGCCUAGCAAAAUUGGUCUGGUAUUAUUAGCAUUUUUCUAUAGUUUCUUAUGGAUUUCUAAAGCUUCUCGGAAAAAGAAAACGAAAAGCUUCUAACAGUGUUGGGCCAAAACUGGCCCUGGUCUAAGCGGAAAUUGGGGGCGCGCCCGCGGCAGCGUAGCAGGUUUUUCACAAAGGUCCACGCUAGAGCCGAAAUUAGAAACGAAGUCUUCAACCAAUUCCCGUGAGUCACUGACACUUUACUUCCAGCCCCUCCCAAGCUUCUUGUCUUUCAAAAUGGAAUCCCUAAUGUUGUCCGGCGGCGCGGACACGUUCUCCCUGCGACACUACGACGAAGGAGAGCCUGGGCAAUCAUUGGAUAGCGACCAGAUCAAACCUUAACCUAACCCAAGCAGUUUUGGGCAUGGAUUUGGCUUACAAACACACGGAGCGGCCGGAUCGCGCCCACGACGGAAUUCUAGCUCUGCGGUACCUCUCCGGUCGAUUUGAGUACCGGACACAUCAAAUUAAGGGCAUAGGGGGCACGAGCGAGACACGGGCAACACGACGCUCACAAGAAUUGCCCUCGGACCAACUGAACUUUGAGUGGGUCAACACCAGGGUAGUUCACGCGGUGUCAAGAUCAUGUUCCGACCAAAUUAGGACCACAAAGAUCAAACGGGCUUCUUGAUGAGCUUCACCAACCUAUAGAGACGGAAGAACACGAAUUUGUAAGGGUGGAGCCAUAACGCAACCGCCUGACCACGUGAGGUUGACGUGUUGGCGAGGUGGUCACCAAACACACCGGUGGCUUGAUCAGUGGAACUGGGCACGUCCAGGGUAUGGUUUAGGGAAGCAAUACUGCUAAUUGAAGCUACUCACGAUGGUGGAUGGUCGAUGCAAGGAUCACUGUGUUGGCUCCUGCUUUCUUCCCCCCGGUUGCUCUUUAAAUAGCCAGUGAAAAGAUCAAGGGGGCUGGACUUUUAAACUGGCAUCAGGGGUAACUAUGAGCAGGAGGUGUAGUCGUGGCUCACUCAAGAAGACCCACGCUGGUUCACAGAGCAUAGUCAUGCAGGAUGAAGUUUAUCCAUGGCCAAGGAAGGAGGUAAGGAUAGGAUGGCACUGUAGUAGAUAUUUGCACAGGUGAUAUUUCAGUGAUGCGCAAAUCUGAAUACCCCUGCCAUCACCUCAUCCCAAUCUUCAUCCUAUUCCAAAGUUGGUCACGACAAGGAGAGUAAAUAUCAAGGGUAGAUAUUUCAGUUCUUUUGAAUCUUCAACAGAUAACUGAUCCCCCUCUCUUCAGUUAGCCUUUUCUCCAUAUUCUGAUUAAGAACAGGGCAAUCAUCGUUAACAGAACUUGUUCCCAAUUAAAGGGUCUAUAAAGUUACUAUAAAUUUCUUGGACCUAAACCUCAUAUAUUACAAGUUAUGGUGCCCAAAAAUCAGCUGCAAUACACUGGUACCAUUCCAAUCUUCUAAACUUCAGUCUUCAAGUUUCAUACGGUUUCUUCCUUUCUGACAGGGACAGUUUGGGCACCCUUACCUCCUAAAUGUAUAUGACAUCAAGCCAGAGUCUCCUAAUAAAACUUGCUCAUGAACACUAGCUUUCUAGAUUUGCUUAGAUCAACCUAGCACCAAGUUGCAUAGGACAGCCUCUGCAAGGUCUCAAAGUUGCUCCGACAGACAGAAAUUCAGAACAGAGCUGCCUGAUUAGGACCCAUGAACCUGAAGCCCAACUUGAGCAUCAUUUUCCUUGAUUUUUGGCACAGGAUCAAGCCCAUAUUUCUUAAGAACAUUUAAUCCCCUUUUAAUGACCUCUAAUUUAUCUACACAGCUCAUAGACUUUACCCCACUAGAUUGGACACAAAAAGACUCCAAACCUAGCUCGAUACACUGCUCUAUAGGCUUCAGAUUACUGUGUGUGGUCUGAACAUUCAGAGUCCUAUUAGCUCUGUUUGGGGUAUGUUUUCAGGAGAUUUCAUAGUGUUUCAGGGUUGGGUCUCUUAAUUGAACUUAUACCCCUAUAAUAGCUCUACCAUUUUGAUGUACUAACCUAGGACAGAAUCCUCAUGAAUGAAGAGAUAUACAGCCCCAAAGAUGGUCCAAAUUACUGCAAUUCAGACCUAGUCACAUGAGAGGUGUAGAGGGGCCUUUUGCAAAUAAGCCCCAAUUCUCAUCUUUUGGCUUGGAAAUCCUCAAAUGUGUCAACCAUAUGAUUUGAGCUACUCCAAUACCUUGGUUUUUGCACUUGGGUCCAAAAGUAUGCAAAAUUUACAUAUAACCCCUAGGGUUUCAAUUUGGGGUUUUAGUGGUCCUUUUAGGGUUUUGGCACUUCUAGAGUUAGAGUGUCACUUAAGUCCAUUAAUGGUGAUAUCUUAUGAGUAUUUCUCAUGAGUUUUGAAAUUUUCUCAUGCUUGGGAUUUAUUAUCCCUCCUAAGCCUGGUUUAGGGUUAGGUACCCUACUCUAGGGUUUCACCCAUAACUAGUCACAUCAAUACAACUUGUUUGAAAUUUUUGCCUAGUUAAUGCACUCUAAGUGUAACAAGCACAUGAUAUGCUAAUGCUCAUGAUGUUUUGCUCAAGUUUUAGUGACAGUAACACCAGGGGUGUUACAGAGAGCAUAUGAAAAAUGUAACCCAUUCUUUUGUUUUUUAGCUCACUGGCCAUUCGCUGGGAGUUUCAGGCUUAAUACCGAUAUUUUAGCAACAAAUCUAAUAAAUCUAAAUGUAGUGAUUGGUGUAUUGAUUUUUUGGAAAGGGAGUGUGUGUGAGUUGUCUAUUUCAAGAAUAGAUUGGAUCUAUCCGGCUGCACUUUAGAAUAUUUUCCCGGGUGAUUCUCCAUGUUCCCAUUAACAUAAUGAUCUUAUCGUGAACAGAAAAUAAUAAACAGAUAAUAAAAAGUGUAAUCAUGAGUAAUGAAUAUCUCUAUACCCAAAACCACAUAAAGCAAUAGCAUCUACUACCCAAAAAAUUUAGUAGUAAAACUAGUGGUCAAAUAAGGUAUAAAGAUAGUCAAAAAUCUAGGGUAACCUAUUGGGUCCCAUCAAAAUUAACCUAUGCAGAUCAUUAUGAUUAAUAAGAACUUGACUGGGUAAAAGAAGUGAUCAAGGGCACAAUUUGCCUUCAACGAGCUCCUACUCAGUAGUCUCUACCAGCUGAACCUCAGGAUCCACAGUGACUUGCUCGUUUACUCGCAUCAAUACAAACUUACAUAGUAUAAAGGGAAAAUUAACAUCACACUAAAGAUGUAAACAAAAUACAUGAUAAUAUUCUACGCCGCGUAAUGAGAACAUAGGAACAAGAACCACUGAAUUUGGAUCUACCGUUGUUAAGCUAUGAAUUUCCGAAGUUAUGAAGUACUCGGAAUAGCAUAACUCAUGUGAAUAAUUUUAGUUCCAGUUUCAUGGCAAAACAAAUUUACUAAGUGACAGACAAUAUUAAAACAAAAUUAAUGUCUCUGGAAUGACUCAAUUUGGAGUUAAAAUAAAUUUUAUAUGGAUUAUACAAGUUCCUGGAAUUAUUUUUGUAUUAAAAAUUAAUUUCUAUAAUUUUUUAACCCUUUUCUCGGCUCCCUAGUCAGCGCACCAAUUUCAGAAAAGGUCGCGGGCCCAUCUAUACAAAUACCUCAAACACAACUGACACUCGCGCAGGAUGGCGGGUUAUUUUCUAAAAUCUAUAAGGGCUCUUCUGCAAAAGGUGCAGGCCGAAGGGGUACUGACGCACACGAGCCAUCGGAUCCAAAACCGUCGGUCCAGAUUAGAACGAGACACUUAUGAACCUGAGAUCAUCCUCACACGUCGGAUCUGAAUCCUACGAUCCACGACACACUAUCAACACUCUCCCACACGGGCCACACAAUUAUUGAUCGAUGGUUGUGAUUGAUUAAGCCGAAAGGAGGCCUCAAGAUCUAAUCCUAGCCGCUAUUCAUUGUUCCAGAGGUCACGGAUUAAACUAGCCAACCGGAGUGCGCGCCACGAUCUACGCCAGCCACACCAAGAUCAACGGACAGAGGACCAUCUACCUCGACCAGACGACCACGCGGCGCCGUGACGCCAUUAGCACGUAGACCGGCGAAGCACCGCAGAUGCCGUCACAACAAAGUAUUGCACAAUUUAGCUAACGCGAAUGCAUGGGUGAUCCGCUCUUACUCGAUUGGGAACGUACCAGCGCCCAGGCUCGUACAGGCCGCCCCGGGAUGGAGUGACGGUGGCCCAGCGGCAAUGUCGAUUUGUCGGUCCGCCGUCCUUGAGACCCCGGAUGAUGUCUCCCCAGCAAUACGGUGAGUCACUGAGGCACGCAACCUCGAAUUCCGCCCAUGCGCACACACGCUCGUCGUCCGCACCAGACACUGCUCUCGCGCUCCACUUCUCUCUCACCAACAGCGUCAAUUCCAAUGGCGAUUAGGGUUUCUUUCUGUCUCGGUAUAACGUAGGCGGCGACCGUAUUUAAAUCACCGAGCGAGGAAACAGCCCCGCGGUGCGCUUGGUUUGUUG
rnacentral:lncRNA from 1 species